GGCUCUGUGGCGCAAUGGAUAGCGCGUUGGACUUCUAAUUCAAAGGUUGUGGGUUCGAGUCCCACCAGAGUCG